ensembl:lncRNA
CUAACACACAGUGCUGGGAAUGCGGUGUCAGAGGGCAGCCCGAGAGCCGCACUGGGAGGGGAGCGGGCGGCAGGCGCGGGUCCCACCAGGCUCAGCGGCCACAGCACUGGGCUGUGGGGGCUGCAGGGCGUCCUCUCGUCCUGGGACAGGAGACAGAGGCCCCAGGCUGCGCGUCCUUCUCCAGCAGCGUUGCUGCCUUCAAACAGCACUUCCGAAAGUGUCCGCAGGCGGACACAAAGGGCUCUCAGGAGCUGGGGGAGGGCGACACCUCUUUGCCAGGAGAAUGCAAGGAGGCCCUUCCAUACUCCUGCCACACCUGGGGUGGCCAACAGGGGAGACACCGCCCACGUUUACAUUGUAAACAUGUGCGUAAUUUAGCCUCUCUUUUUCUGGUUAAACGUUACCCACAGCUGCCUGCUGGAUGGGAAAGAUGGCCAACAGAUCACCGAGCAGCGUCCUGCUGGGCGGAUGGAGCGCAGUUGUCCAGGCAUCCGCUGAAGGGCAUCCGGAGUGUUUCCAGUUUCAUACCAUGGAUAAAGCUGCUGGAAACAUUCAUGCGCAGAGCUCUGAAUGAGCAUAUGUUUUCACUUCUCCUGGGUAAACACCUAGGACUGGGGUCUCUGGGUUAUAGGAUGAGUGUAUUUUAACUUUAUGGGAGUCUGCCGAACUGUUUCCAGAGCAGUUUGCAUUUCCACCAGCCACGUAGGAGAGUCGCAGCGGCUCCACAUCCUUACCCGUACUUGGUAAGGGCAGUCAGUUUCAUUCUAGCCAUACUAGUGCGGGUUUAGAGCUGUCCACUGUCGUUUUCACUUCCGCCCCUCGUCCUCACAGAGAGCCACAGGCUCAGGGACAGCGCUCAAGGCUCAGCACUCAUGGUCUUCUCUGAAGGCCGUAGCUGGGGGAGGCGACUCCCAGGGACCCAAGUCAAAGCACGUGGAGAGAAGCUUCACCUCUGGAGGACAAACCCGAAGCCCGGCUUUGUUUCAAGCUUGGUUUACCCGUUACCCACCUGCCUUGUCAUCAAGAAGACUAAUCUAACCGGGUGGCUGCUCUGGGUUUGAAAGGAGGGGCUGACUUGGCUCCACCCACUGGGCCACAGUCUAGACAUCGACCUCCCUGAACCCGCUGGGCGUCUCCUCAGGACCUGAUCAAAGAAGAGGUAUAUUAACAGUGUGUCAGGCACCGUUCCAAGCGUUGGCGACCUGGUCUCGGCCCUCACAGAGUUUACUGUCCAGUGGAGGAGACAGACACUAAAGAAGCAACUACACAAGUUGUGCGUGUCACAAAGGCAAGUACAGUGACCCUUAGGCACAUAACAAGUGGACUUAACCCGAUCCCGGGAGCAGACAGGUGCUCAAGCGUUCCAGCAGCGGAAAGAAAGUGUGCAGAGCUCCAAGGAGGAGGCUGCAGGGGGAGCUGGAUGAAACAGGUGACGCCCAGCCCAGCCAGAGCUGAGAGAGAACAUCCAGGGCCCGGUUCACUGCAGCGGGGGCCUCGGCCACCGUGUUUUCGCCAAGGUCCCCAGGCUGUCCCGAGGCCCCCAGUGCUUGAGAACCACCGCCUGGAGGAAUGACCCACUGGGCCACCUUGUCCACACCGCGCCCAGCACAGCCCCUCCCCAGAUGGAGCUGACUCCCGGCAGACCUGCUGGAGUUAACUCUCCACACUGGGCAAUCCUCUCGCACUUCGUUAAUUUUUUUGCAGACUGUGGGGUUUUUGCUUUUCAUUAUUAUAUACCCUUAUUUUUAAAAUCAGCUUUAUUCAGGUAUAAUUUACAUACACCAAAAUUUACCAAUUUUAAAUAAAAAUUCAAAGAGUUUCGACAAAUGUACACAGUUGUAAAACAACCAUCACCUAAAAAAGUUCUCUCCAGCCCUUUGCAGUCAGUCCCCGUCCGCCACCCCGGGCCCUGGCCACCGCCAACCAGCUUUCUGAAAGCACAGUUCCACAUUUCUGUACUUUUGCGUGAAUGGAAUCAUCCGGAAUGUAGUCUUCUGUACCCAGAUUCUCUCCUGUGUGGAACGCUUUUGAGAUGCGUCUGCUGUGGCGGAUCGGAGUUCACUCUUUUUAGUGGCGAACUGGUUUCCAGUGUAGGGGUUGCUACAAUUUGUUCAGCACUUGAUGACACGAGUUGUUUGUGGUGCGUGUCUGUUACGGAUAAAGCGUCUGUGAAAGACAAGCACGAGUCUGUGUGUGACCGGGCUUUCAGUUGUCCUCAGUGAACACCUGGCAGUGGGAUGGCUGGGCCACCUGGUGCGUGUAGCUUAACCCUAUGAGAAGCUGCCACCCGGGCUCCAGAGUGGCGUUUUGCAUUUCCAGGCAAAAUAUGGGAGCGCUCCAGCUCCUCCAUGUCCGUGUGGAAACUCGGCACGUCCGUCUUCUUCACGGAGCCGUUUCAGGUUGCGUCUCCAUAAAACCACUCUUCCUGCCCGGAAAAAACACGGUUGAAAGGGACAAACGCCCCGUCAGGCGGCUUUCGUAGGAGUGUGGGGGGGACCGGAAGGGCUGGUCGCCUGCGGCCGCUUCCCCCCGCGGAGCGCGGCUGCCGGGAAGGGCCGGGGAGGGAGGAUUCGCCUUCGAACGCGCCCAGCGCCCAGCACGGAGGACACCGGGACGCGAGCAGGGCUGGCCGGGAGCAGGCCGCGCUGGAGGGACAGGCCGCCCCUGACCCGUGGGGGCGGGGACCCCGCCAGUGGAGGGGGAGGGCGAGGCAGAGAGGGGGCUCUUGUCUCCUUGUGAAGUGAACCCUCCCAGGCCGGGAGUUACAAGUCGUGCUUAGCUGUGUUUUGAAAUAACUCCCUGUUACAGCAGCUCCCGAUUAGUUCCAUGCUAACCUACAAAGCAGCUGAUCCUGGGGGCACUGUGUCCCCUCGGGGGCACAGACCCUCCCCACGAGUUGCUCAGAGAUCAAUGAGGAAGUGAAGGGCACUGACCGUCAUUUCUGACCUGUUUCCAAGGACGGAUUCUCUGACGCCCUCUCAGGUCUCUGAUCUAGUCAUUCGUGGCCUCUUCCUGAGUGGGCCUGGACACGCGAAACGGCAGCCACGCAGCCAACAUCACUGCCACUCGGGUGACAAGGUGAUGUUCAGGGCCCUGACUUUGCAAAGUUUAAUUGACACAGUUUCUGUCUUCCAGGAUUCCAGCAGCCGUGCUGCUAAGGCCGCAGGCCCUGAGGGGCCAGCCUCAGCUCUGUUUCCCAGAAGCCACACAAACCCCUGUUUUCACCCCAUCUCAGAGCAGACUGAAAUGGGGGUCGCCCACAGAAAGGACGCCACGAAGACUGAGCGGCUAUAAAAGUAUGGCGAUCAGCCACACAGCUGCCGCUCGCCAGGUCUGUCAAGAGGCCAGGCAGCCCGGAGUGUUCCGGGGGAGAAAAAUGCUAUCUGAUUGGAGAAGAGAAAAUGGAGCUCCGGCUGAAACCACUUUGCCUUCCACAGCAUCUUUUUAAUCCCUUUGUCUGGUGCAUGACAUCAGUUCCCAGAACAGGGGGUUAUUAAUAACUGUGGGACCUUUUCCCAGUCUCCAGAUCAAUUGGCAGAAGCCUCUGGUUACUUCCUUCUGGAUGCUUCUGUUAUUCAGAGCUGGAAGUGGCCUCCUCCUUGAAACCCGUGUAGUUUUCACCUGGCUUGGGAAUUGCACGGUGCCUCCCAGCCCCUAACCCACUGAGCUGGAUCGUGAGGAGGCCUUGCCCCCGCGCACCUUCCUGAGCUGGCUCAGCGCUCGGCUGGCGUCUUUGCUCCUCUGAGAUGCUCCUGCUGUCUCCAGGGGGGUGCAGCCUGUGCCUCUCCUCCCGCUGGCUCCUCACUGCCAAGUGCAGACCCAGUCAUGACAGGAUCUGUGGAGUUGGCCAGAUUUAGCACAAGGUCACUUUGAGCUGGCUCCUCAACUCGUAUCUGUGGAGGCCCCCAGUCAGCUGCUGGGCAGGUGCUAAGCAAGCCCAGAUCUCAGUUUGUGGACAUUGGGGUGGACACUUCUCCAGAAGGAGGUCCUUGGCAGCAGCUCGCAUGGCAGGGGAGGGUCAUAAAUGCACUUGCCCUCAGCUUUCCUCUUGCUCUUUCACCCUCUCUGGGGCCUGGCCAUGCCCGUGGCUCUGCCAGGAUCUCCUC